rnacentral:rRNA from 1 species
UACAGGGGGGGCAAGCGUUGUUCGGACUUACUGGGCGUAACGGGUCUGUCGGUGGCUCGCUAAGUCAGACGUGAAAUCCCUCAGCUUAACUGGGGAACUGCGUCUGAUACUGAUGAGCUUGAGUGCAGGAGAGGAACGCGGAAUUCCAGGUGUAGCGGUGAAAUGCGUAGAUAUCUGGAGGAACACCGGUGGCGAAGGCGGCGUUCUGGACUGCAACUGACACUGAGAGACGAAAGCCAGGGGAGCAAACGGG